rnacentral:rRNA from 1 species
GUUUUCCGUGCUGGACUGUGUACAAGUUUCCUGGAUACGGAACAUCAUAGAGGGUGAGAAUCCCGUCCUUGACACAGAACUACCAGUGCCCUGUGAUGCGCUCUCGACGAGUCGAGUUGUUUGGGAUUGCAGCUCAAAAUGGGAGGUAAAUUCCUUCUAAAGCUAAAUAUUGGCGAGAGACCGAUAGCGAACAAGUACCGUGAGGGAAAGAUGAAAAGCACUUUGGAAAGAGAGUUAAACAGUACGUGAAAUUGUUAAAAGGGAAACGCUUGAAGUCAGUCAUGUCUGCUUGGACUCAACCUUACCUUUGGUUUGGUGUAUUUCCUUGCGGACGGGCCAGCGUCCAUGUGGUUUAUCGGAAAAGGGGUGAGAGAAUGUGGCUCCUUUGGGAGUGUUAUAGCUUUCACUCGUACGCGGGGAACGAUAUGGAGUGGUACAGCACGCUUCGGUGGUGUCUUGUGCUGGCAUAAUGGCUUUAAACGACCCGUCUUGAAACACGGACCAAGGAGUCUAACAUGUCUGCAAGUG